rnacentral:sRNA from 1 species
UCUUUCAUAUGGUAAUUUAAGCUUAAAUAAUAUCGAUCUUGUUUUUGGGAAUGUGACACGUUUAGGUACUUUUAGAGAAUUUUAUUCCUUUUGAGGCACUUGUCAGGGAUGAGGCACUUUUCCAACUUUUUCAUUAAACUUUUGACCAAUUUGUCCUUGAAAAUUAAAAAAUUAUAAUUAAAAAAAAAGUUUCAUCUCUCCACGUUCCUUUUUUUUCCUUCUUCUUCGUCGCUUCUUCUUUUUUCUCUCUCUCUCUCUCAUUAUUACUUUUUUUUCUUUCCUUGCAAAAUCAAACAUUUAAGAGUUUAUCAAAAUCAAACAUUUGAGAGUUUAUGGAAAACCCAAGUUGGCAAAUUCCAGUAUUAAAUUUCAUAUCCAUUUGAUCGCUUUGUUUGAUACAAUUUGAUUCUUUCUUGAUAAAUUGAUGUUUCAUUGAAAGUCUAACCUUAAAAGCAUAUUCUUUUGCUUAUGAGAAUCACUUAUUUCCACAUGGUUACGUUUACGUGGACAAGUUAUCAUGGAGACAAACUAGCAUCAUUUUUUUUUCAUCAUUUUUAUUCUUACAAAUCAUAGAAAUUCUGAGAUUAUCUCAAAAUUCUCUAUCAUAACUUAAAAACGAAGAAUAUAUUAAGAAUCAACAACAGAACAUUGCUGCUACAAUUGAUCUUCUUACACGCUUUAUAUACUUAAACUUGAGUACUUGGACACUCAUCAAUGGACAACUAUGCUUCAGAUGUGAGUUACUAGAUGACCACUUGGACUAGAGUGCUUGGACACUUAUCAAUGGACAACUAUGCUUCAAAUGUGAGUUAUUAGAUGACCAUUUGGACUUGAAUGCUUGGACACUCAUCAAUGGACAACUAUGCCUCAGAUGAAGUUACAUCGACAAUGGCCUUUUUGCUGCUACUCGCGUUCUCAACAUCACGAACCGUUUCAAGCCCAGAUUGCUUAGAAGGUAACUGAUCAUGGUUAACAUCCUCACUUUUCAUUGUAAUCGAUGACAGAGAUUCCUUAAUCAAGGAGAGAAAUAAAUGGAACCAAAUCAAAUAAUUGUUGAGAGACAGGGAAGAUGAUGAUAAAUCAUAUGAAAUUGGGUUUUUAGUUUUGAUUUGGAAUAUUGAGAUUCCCGUAAAAAAUUGGUUUUGAUUUUGGAAAGAAAGAGAAAUAAAGACGAUGGAGAAAAGAGUUGAGAGAGAAAAUGAGGAGAAAGCGUUGUGGUUCAGAGGGCAAUUUAGGAAUUUUGAUUUGGUAAAGUGCCUUCUCCUUUCAAAGUGCCUAUUUGUGGCUAAAGUUUCAAAAUAGUGCCUGUACGUGUAAUAUUCUCUCUUGUUUUUGUAGAUGGAGGAUCCCUUGAAGAAUACCUUGACAAAAAAAAGCGUGUGGAUACGUACACGUGAGAAUAUACUCAUGUUAGUGUAUCUUGUUAUAUCUUAAUCGGUAUUACAUUUUUCGAUAGAUUUAGU